AAAAAAAGUAUAGCUAGGAAGAAAAAAAAAAGAAAUCAAGGAGCAAAAACAAGCAACAGCUUCGCAAAACAAUAACAAGGAUAGCUAGGUAUAACAUUAGCCUAGAAUGGAAGUGGAGGGAAGGGGACUUCAUUCGCAAAUAUUUUGAGUACAGAUAUACAUACUGUAUGAAUACUCCACCGCCGUCGAUCGGGAGACCAACACAUAAUUCCGUCGUCUAUGAAUGUAACCAUGGCCCAACGCAUCUAUCUCCUUCGACUUGUGAGCAUUACAAUGUUGGCGCGUGUUCCUUAAAGUAGCUGGAGCAGUUGGGACGGUACCAUCAGCAAAAUUAAUUACCGACAUGCAAGACGUGUCUAUAAUGUAUUAUUUUGUCAUAGUAUUCAGGAGCAAAGACAUCAAGUGGCAAUCGAGAAUCCGGAAGUUUCGUUGCCAUGUCAUAAAAAAAGAAAAUAAAGCAGGCAUCUAAGAAAAGUUUGCAACACACCAGGGAAUAUCAGAACGAAAAGAAACUACUAUGUUUAGUGCGUGAGUUUGCAUUAAUAUUUACCCUCAUAAAUACAAAUUCUGGCCCUCCAGGCAGGCAGGCAAAAUGAUGAACCCAUCGCAACACAUGUGUGGAUAAAAUUAAUGCGGUUCACACGGCUAAUGAAUUAAGCCGAGUCAUUGGAAUUAAGUGAAAAUGGUGGGCAGAAAAAAUGUGCAGCAUAUAAUUAGAUAAGGAGAACAGCUAAAAAUAACUUGGAUUUAAAACUAAAAAUAUCCGUCAUAAUUUAGCUCUUUUACA